rnacentral:rRNA from 1 species
AGAGUUUGAUCAUGGCUCAGGACGAACGCUGGCGGCGUGCCUAAUACAUGCAAGUCGAACGGUCUUUUCUAUGGAAGCUUGCUUCCACUGAGAAGAUAGUGGCGAACGGGUGAGUAACACGUGGGUAACCUGCCCAUAAGAGGGGGAUAACAUCCGGAAACGGGUGCUAAUACCGCAUAGUUUUCUUGAUCGCAUGAUCGGGAAAGGAAAGACGGCCUUUGUGCUGUCGCUUAUGGAUGGACCCGCGGCGUAUUAGUUAGUUGGUGAGGUAAUGGCUCACCAAGACGAUGAUACGUAGCCGACCUGAGAGGGUGAUCGGCCACAUUGGGACUGAGACACGGCCCAAACUCCUACGGGAGGCAGCAGUAGGGAAUCUUCCGCAAUGGACGAAAGUCUGACGGAGCAACGCCGCGUGAGUGAAGAAGGUUUUCGGAUCGUAAAACUCUGUUGUCAGAGAAGAACAAGUUGGAGAGUAACUGCUCCAGCCUUGACGGUAUCUGACCAGAAAGCCACGGCUAACUACGUGCCAGCAGCCGCGGUAAUACGUAGGUGGCGAGCGUUGUCCGGAUUUAUUGGGCGUAAAGCGAGCGCAGGCGGUUCCUUAAGUCUGAUGUGAAAGCCCACGGCUCAACCGUGGAAGGUCAUUGGAAACUGGGGAACUUGAGUGCAGAAGA